UGCCAGCCGCCGCGGUAAUACGAAGGGGGCUAGCGUUGUUCGGAAUUACUGGGCGUAAAGCGCACGUAGGCGGAUCGUUAAGUGAGGGGUGAAAUCCCAGGGCUCAACCCUGGAACUGCCUUUCAUACUGGCGAUCUUGAGUUCGAGAGAGGUGAGUGGAAUUCCUGGUGUAGAGGUGAAAUUCGUAGAUAUCAGGAGGAACACCGAUGGCGAAGGCAGCUCUCUGGACAGAUACUGACGCUGAGACGCGAAAGCGUGGGGAGCAAACAGGAUUCGAUA
rnacentral:rRNA from 1 species